UCAGUCGACUCCUACGGGGAGGCAGCAGUGGGGGGAAUAUUGCACAAUGGGCGCAAGCCUGAUGCAGCCAUGCCGCGUGUAUGAAGAAGGCCUUCGGGUUGUAAAGUACUUUCAGCAGUGAGGAAGGUGGGUAUGUUAAUAGCAUACUCAUUUGACGUUAGCUGCAGAAGAAGCACCGGCUAACUCCGUGCCAGCAGCCGCGGUAAUACGGAGGGUGCGAGCGUUAAUCGGAAUUACUGGGCGUAAAGCGCAUGCAGGUGGUUUGUUAAGUCAGAUGUGAAAGCCCGGGGCUCAACCUCGGAAUUGCAUUUGAAACUGGCAAACUAGAGUACUGUAGAGGGGGGUAGGAAUUUCAGGUGUAGCGGUGAAAUGCGUAGAGAUCUGAAGGAAUACCGGUGGCGAAGGCGGCCCCCUGGACAGAUACUGACACUCAGAUGCGAAAGCGUGGGGAGCAAACAGGAUUAGAUACCCUGGUAG
rnacentral:rRNA from 1 species